rnacentral:rRNA from 1 species
UACGUAGGGUGCGAGCGUUGUCCGGAAUUAUUGGGCGUAAAGAGCUCGUAGGCGGUCUGUCGCGUCGAAUGUGAAAACCCGGGGCUCAACUCCGGGCUUGCAUUCGAUACGGGCAGGCUAGAGUUCGGUAGGGGAGUCUGGAAUUCCUGGUGUAGCGGUGAAAUGCGCAGAUAUCAGGAAGAACACCAAUGGCGAAGGCAGCUCUCUGGGACGGUACUGACGCUGAGACGCGAAAGCGUGGGGAGCGAACAGG